CGAGAGCUCUCCAGCCUUUGGCGGCCCUUGAGAAGGAGGGCUGUUUCUGUCUUUGGUUAUCUAGCUGUAUGAGUGUUAUUAAGCCAUCAUAAAGCUAGAUAACCGAAAGUAGAAAUGACUUCCAACCCUUCCUGGAGCUGGGAAGCCAAUGGACAAGGAGGGACGUGGAGCCAGACACACCAUGGACCUUGGAGCAGAGCAAGGUUAACCUCAGAUCAUCUCCGACCUUCUGCCAAGGAUUCGCCGGAGUCCUUCCAGACCCAGACGUGACGGAAAGUUCAUGGAGAGGGAUGCAAUGGGAAGAGACAGGACAUCUCUGGGUGAGCAAGGAGAGAGCUUGUGCGACGUUCUGCAGCAAAGAUAAGAAACAUCCCAUUUGGCACAAGCAGCACAGAAGAGAAAGGUGGAAAGUCGCUCCUCCCCGGUUAACCUCCCCUUCCCAGUCCCCUCUGGUAUUCUUCCCUCUCCCCGAUACCAUCAACUCAGCGUGGGGCCCUCGACAAGCAAGAGCUGGAGGAGGAGGACAAAAAAAGAGGCAGCGAGAAGGAGAAGGGCAGCCCCUGUGAAGACAUACUCUGCCACACCGGGCCAUUUUUGCUGCAGUUUGUAGGCUGCUAGGUGCCCGGAAGCCAUUUUGAUGGAAUCAAGUACUAUUUGUAAGAUGGCCGCAUUGGCACGAGAUUCCUGUGGCUGGCGAAUGGCAGGCGGCUGGACGCCUUUGGGUUCUUCGUUAACCUUCACCACAGAUGAAAACUCGCCGGGGACUUUUCGCGUCACAUACAGCUAUUCAUCGACCCGCGUACCGGCCAGCUAUUCGCAACUGGCCCAGCGAAGAGGCUGCUUUGGCCGCUGGACCUCGAGGGCUUUCAGGGUUGCAGCUGAAGAGGGUGAGGUGUGUGGAGCAGGCGAAAACUUUGAUGUGCUGUACCUGGUACAAUGAAUGCAUCACUGGUGAAUAUUUUGUGGUCACCUUUGCUGCUCGGUGACCCCUGGAUAUCACAGACCUCUUCGCUCUCCUGUUCAAACUGCCUUGCCUAUCCAGGGAGAGCCCGGGAAGCAAAUGCCUGGACUGGGGGAAAAACAGAUCUAUUGCAUGUCUGACUGUAGGCGUGUGAAGUCCUGAGAAAGCACCCCUGGACUCAGUGUGGAAAAGUUUGGGCUGAUUGAUUUUGCUUUGUUGCACUGAGAACGGCACCUUAUUGUUAGUUAAUGCCCAAGACAACUGUUUUUGAAACUUUCUGUGUGUCUGUAGUGGCAAGAUUCCCUGUCAUUACAGAAUAAAUUGGACAUGUAGGGCUGUAUUUUCACUGUGGCCUGGGGAUGCGUGCUCCCCCCAGAUUAUUUUAUCCUUCUUUUUGUUUGUUUUUGAAUAGAUACUGAUUCUUCAACGCAGACUUAUUCUUACGGUGCAAACAUGCCCAACUGUGGCUGUACAGAUCCCUGUUGACGUGUUUCAGAUGUCUUUAUUCUUGUAAAAGACACAUCCGCUCCCCCCCCCCACUUGUUUAAACAAAGAUGGUUAAAAUAAACAAUUCACUUGU